rnacentral:rRNA from 1 species
CCCGCUGAACUUAAGCAUAUCAAUAAGCGGAGGAAAAGAAACCAACAGGGAUUGCCCUAGUAACGGCGAGUGAAGCGGCAAAUGCUCAGAUUUGAAAUCUGACGCCAUUUUGGCGUUCGAGUUGUAGUCUGUAGAGGUGUAUUCGAGUGUGGCUUUGGCUUAAGUUCCUUGGAACAGGACGUCAUAGAGGGUGAGAACCCCGUUAACGGCCUUUGUCCUAUGCUCAUGUGAAUCUCCUUCAGCGAGUCGAGUUGUUUGGGAAUGCAGCUCUAAAUGGGUGGUAAAUUCCAUCUAAAGCUAAAUACUGGCAAGAGACCGAUAGCGCACAAGUAGAGUGAUCGAAAGAUGAAAAGAACUCUGAACAGAGAGUUAAAUAGUACGUGAAAUUGUUGAAAGGGAAGCACUUCCGACCAGACGCACUUGCAGCUGAUCAAUCCUCAUUCUUGGGGGUGCACUCGGUUGUCUGUGGGUCAGCAUCAGCUAUGGUGGUGGGAAAAAGGCUGAGGGAAUGUGACUCCUUUCGGGGAGUGUUAUAGCCCUUGGUGCAAUGCUGCCUGCUAUAACUGAGGACCGCGCUUCGGCGAGGAUGCUGGCAUAAUGGUCGUAAGUGACCCGUCUUGAAACACGG